UUCUUCACUUUUACUUGUUUUUGAACCGACUGUUCUUCUAUCAAGGAUUUCUCCUUGAAGAAAGUAGCUCUUUACCAGCCGCAUAUACCUCGGCUUCAUCAGCCGAUUCUUCACUUUCACUUGAUUAGCUCGGCUCUUUUUGAACCGACUGUUCUUCUAGCAAGAAUUUCUCCUUGCCUUUGCUUUGAUUUUUACAUUGGCUCCAUUACAGCCGAUUGUCCUCACUUUUCUUACGGAAUUACUCAUAUUGGGCAACUCUAACACCUAGAAAAAUACUUAUCUUCAAAAUGGUCUUUUAUCUUAAAAUGUAGACCAUUUAAUGUCAUUUUGGCGAACUCUGAUUCCGGCAUUCUCAUAAAACACCGAAUUUUGGCUAUUUUAAAACGGUUCAAAUACUCUUCCAUCGUUUCACCUGACUUUUGUCGGUAUA
rnacentral:lncRNA from 1 species